AUGAAGGAAGGGGGUCAGAAGAAGAACAUCCUGGCCAAGACGCUCCAGAAGUGCCGGUCGCUGGGCCACCGGAGGCAGCCGGCAGCCUACGGCGGUGGCGGCGCUGGCAGCAGCGCCAGCGCCCCGGCCUCGCCACGCGCGGCCGAUGGCAGGGCGGCGUGGGCCGUUCCGGCGGGGUACUUCGCCGUGCUCGUGGGGCCAGAGAAGGAGCGGUUCGCGGUGCGCGCCAGGUGCGCAAACCACCCCCUGUUCCGGGCGCUGCUGGACGAGGCCGAGACGGAGUACGGCUUCGCCGGCUGCGUCGGCCCGCUCGAGCUGCCAUGUGCCGUCGAUGAUUUCAUGGAGGUCAUGUGGGAGAUGGAGCAGGGCGGCGGCGUCGCGUCGUCGCCCAGCUGCGCUCGCUUCGCCGGCAGGGGCCACCACCAACAACAACAGCGCCACGGGUACCACUUGUUGAGUCCGGGCACGUUCGUCGUCGCCGGCCGGUCGUGA
rnacentral:rRNA from 1 species